AUACAAAAGCAUUGAAAAUAAAAAAUCAUAAACCAGUUAAAAGUGUACAGAUAUAAAGCGAAAACAAAAAAAAAAAAAUUCAAAAAUCUACAAUACAAAAAUUCAACAGCAUCACAGACAUAGCUAAACAACAACUUUUCCACGUUUGCUGGCAUCCACCAUUCGUUGCAGUGUUGCGAAACUAAAAUCAAAGAAAAAGAAACUUAAUUGAUUUGUGCGUUAACUAAAGACAAACAGAAUUGUUUUGUUUGACAAAUUAUUGCGCCUUAACGGUAUCGUCGCAUUGCAUGUAA